rnacentral:rRNA from 1 species
GAUGAACGCUGGCGGCGUGCCUAAUACAUGCAAGUCGAGCGAACAGACGAGGAGCUUGCUCCUCUGACGUUAGCGGCGGACGGGUGAGUAACACGUGGAUAACCUACCUAUAAGACUGGGAUAACUUCGGGAAACCGGAGCUAAUACCGGAUAAUAUAUUGCACCGCAUGGUUCAAUAGUGAAAGACGGUUUUGCUGUCACUUAUAGAUGGUUUCGCGACGCAUUAGCUAGUUGGUAAGGUAACGGCUUACCCAGGCAACGAAGCGUAGCCGACCUGAGAGGGUGAUCGGCCACACUGGAACUGCGACACGGUCCAGACUCCAGCGGGAGGCAGCAGUAGGGAAUCUUCCGCAAAGGGCGAAAGCCUGACGGAGCAACGCCGCGUGAGUGAUGAAGGUCUUCGGAUCGUAAAACUCUGUUAUUAGGGAAGAACAAAUGUGUAAGUAACUAUGCACGUCUUGACGGUACCUAAUCAGAAAGCCACGGCUAACUACGUG